UAGGGAAUCUUCCACAAUGGGCGAAAGCCUGAUGGAGCAACGCCGCGUGCGUGAUGAAGGGUUUCGGCUCGUAAAACACUGUUGUAAGAGAAGAAUGACAUUGAGAGUAACUGUUCAAUGUGUGACGGUAUCUUACCAGAAAGGAACGGCUAAAUACGUACCAG
rnacentral:rRNA from 1 species